rnacentral:tRNA from 1 species
GGGGAUUUAGCUCAGUGGCAUAAGCACCUGCCUUGUAAGCAGGCAGUCGUGAGUUCAAUUCCCG